AGACGGAGGGGGCUAGCGUUGUUCGGAAUUACUGGGCGUAAAGCGCGCGUAGGCGGAUUGAUCAGUCAGAGGUGAAAUCCCAGGGCUCAACCCUGGAACUGCCUUUGAUACUGUCAAUCUUGAGUUCGAGAGAGGUGAGUGGAAUUCCGAGUGUAGAGGUGAAAUUCGUAGAUAUUCGGAGGAACACCAGUGGCGAAGGCGGCUCACUGGCUCGAUACUGACGCUGAGGUGCGAAAGCGUGGGGAGCAAACAGGAUUAGAAACCCCAGUAGUCC
rnacentral:rRNA from 1 species